rnacentral:misc_RNA from 1 species
AAGUCGUAACAAGGUCUCCGUUGGUGAACCAGCGGAGGGAUCAUUACAGAGUUGCAAAACUCCCAACCAUUGUGAACCUACCUCACCGUUGCUUCGGCGGGUGGCCCGGGGCAACCCAGGCCGCGCCGGCCCCUCCUUCAGGGGCCGGCAAACCCGUCAGAGGACCGAAACUCUUCGUCAUCAGUGGCCUCUCUGAGUAACUUAUACAAUAAGUCAAAACUUUCAACAACGGAUCUCUUGGUUCUG